AGAAUUUGGAUAUAAGAGAGUUUAGAGGUUACGUCUUUCCCCGGUAACGGCGCCAAAAACUUUUUACGUCCUUGGCAAGUGUACCAAAUUGUUAUCAAGUAAUAUAAAUGGGUAAGUCCAAGUAUCGUUUUCCCAAGAGACUCUUAGGUCUUACUUUUCAUGUAAACUAAUCGCGUAAGACUUGAGAAAAGAAUUAAGUUGAGUUGUUAAUGCAAAGAACAAAAGUAAACAUGCAAAUGCAGUGAUUCAAUUGGCUUCAAGAAACUAUAAAUGAAUGGAGUUGUUGGGGUUUACAAUUUCAUCUUAUCCACCCUCAUAUAUCUACUCUUCUUAUUUAGUUAGCUUAUUUAUCAUAUUGUCAUGCAAACUUUCUUAGUCUACCCUUAACCCAAUCCCUUAGUGAAAAGAGCCUAUUACUAAUUACCGGCUUGCUAUCCCUAGCCUCCCCUAG
rnacentral:lncRNA from 1 species